rnacentral:rRNA from 1 species
CCUACGGGGUGCAGCAGUGAGGAAUAUUGGUCAAUGGACGAGAGUCUGAACCAGCCAAGUAGCGUGAAGGAUGACUGCCCUAUGGGUUGUAAACUUCUUUUAUAUGGGAAUAAAACGUUCCACGUGUGGGAUUUUGUAUGUACCAUAUGAAUAAGGAUCGGCUAACUCCGUGCCAGCAGCCGCGGUAAUACGGAGGAUCCGAGCGUUAUCCGGAUUUAUUGGGUUUAAAGGGAGCGUAGGUGGAUUGUUAAGUCAGUUGUGAAAGUUUGCGGCUCAACCGUAAAAUUGCAGUUGAAACUGGCAGUCUUGAGUACAGUAGAGGUGGGCGGAAUUCGUGGGGUAGCGGUGAAAUGCUUAGAUAUCACGAAGAACUCCGAUUGCGAAGGCAGUUCACUGGACUGCAACUGACACUGAGGCUCGAAAGUGUGGGUAUCAAACAGGAUUAGAUACCCUUGUAGUC